UUCAACGGCCACUUGCCUUCA
rnacentral:piRNA from 1 species